rnacentral:rRNA from 1 species
AUUGAACGCUGGCGGCAGGCUUAACACAUGCAAGUCGAGCGGAGAUGAGGUGCUUGCACCUUAUCUUAGCGGCGGACGGGUGAGUAAUGCUUAGGAAUCUGCCUAUUAGUGGGGGACCACAUUCCGAAAGGAAUGCUAAUACCGCAUACGUCCUACGGGAGAAAGCAGGGGAUCUUCGGACCUUGCGCUAAUAGAUGAGCCUAAGUCGGAUUAGCUAGUUGGUGGGGUAAAGGCCUACCAAGGCGACGAUCUGUAGCGGGUCUGAGAGGAUGAUCCGCCACACUGGGACUGAGACACGGGCCAGACUCCUACGGGAGGCAGCAGUGGGGAAUAUUGGACAAUGGGGGGAACCCUGAUCCAGCCAUGCCGCGUGUGUGAAGAAGGCCUUAUGGUUGUAAAGCACUUUAAGCGAGGAGGAGGCUACUGAGACUAAUACUCUUGGAUAGUGGACGUUACUCGCAGAAUAAGCACCGGCUAACUCUGUGCCAGCCGCCGCGGUAA